AAAGGUGAAAAGAACCCCGGGAGGGGAGUGAAAUAGAACCUGAAACCCUGCACUUACAAGCUGUGGAAGCACAUUUCUUGUGUGACCGCGUACUUUUUGUAGAACGGGCCAACGAGUUACGUUAAGUAGCAAGGUUAAGCACUUAAGGUGUGGAGCCGUAGCGAAAGCGAGUUUUAACUGAGCGUUCAGUUACUUGACGUAGACCCGAAACCGGGCGACCUACCCAUGAGCAGGAUGAAGCGAAAGUAAAAUUUCGUGGAGGUCCGAACCCACGAGCGUUGAAAAGCUCGGGGAUGACUUGUGGGUAGCGGUGAAAUUCCAAUCGAGCCCGGAGAUAGCUGGUUCUCCCCGAAAUAGCUUUAGGGCUAGCCUCAAGGUGAGAGAUACGGAGGUAGAGCACUGAAUGUCCUAGGGGGUAUUGCACCUACCGAAGACUAUCAAACUCCGAAUGCCGUCAUCUUAUACUUGGGAGUCAGACUGUGGGUGAUAAGAUUCAUAGUCGAAAGGGCAACAGCCCAGAUCGUCAGCUAAGGUCCCUAAAUGUAAGUUAAGUGGUAAAGGAUGUGGGAUUGCACAGACAACCAGGAUGUUGGCUUAGAAGCAGCCACUCAUUCAAAGAGUGCGUAAUAGCUCACUGGUCGAGUGAUCCUGCGCCGAAGAUUUCCGGGGCUAAAACUUACUACCGAAGCUACGGCAUCAGUAAUGAUGGGUAGGGGAGCUUCCCAUACGGGUUGAAGCAUGACCGUAAGGACAUGUGGACAGUAUGGGAGUGAGAAUGUUGGCAUGAGUAGCGAGAUGUGGGUGAGAAUCCCACAGGCCGUAAACCCAAGGUUUCCAGGGGAAGGUUCGUCCGCCCUGGGUUAGUCGGGACCUAAGCUGAGGCCGAAAGGCGUAGGUGAUGGACAACAGGUUGAUAUUCCUGUACUACCGAUAACCGUUUGAGAGAAGGGAUGACACAGUAGGAUAAGCUAAGCACACUGUUGGUUAUGUGUGCCCAAGCAUUGAGGCAGUCAAAGUAGGCAAAUCCGCUUUGAUAAUGCUAGGAUGUGAUGGGGAGCGAAAUUUAGUAGCGAAGUAGCUGAUUUCACACUGUCAAGAAAAGUCUCUAUCGAGGUUAAAGGUACCCGUACCGCAAACCGACACAGGUGGGUGAGGAGAGUAUCCUAAGGCCAGCGAGAGAACUGUUGUUAAGGAACUCGGCAAAAUGACCCCGUAACUUAGGGAUAAGGGGUGCCACCAUCAGGUGGCCGCAGAGAAUAGGCCCAAGCGACUGUUUACCAAAAACAUAGGUUUCUGCUAAGUCGCAAGACGAUGUAUAGGAGCUGACGCCUGCCCGGUGCUGGAAGGUUAAGGGGAUCUGUUAGAGUAAUCGAAGCAGUGAACUUAAGCCCCAGUAAACGGCGGCCGUAACUAUAACGGUCCUAAGGUAGCGAAAUUCCUUGUCGGGUAAGUUCCGACCCGCACGAAAGGCGUAACGAUUUGGGCACUGUCUCAACAACAGACUCGGUGAAAUUGUAAUUCCGGUGAAGAUGCCGGAUACCUGCGACAGGACGGAAAGACCCCAUGGAGCUUUACUGUAGCUUGACAUUGGGUCUUGGUACUACAUGUACAGGAUAGGUGGGAGGCUUUGAAACCAGGACGCCAGUUUUGGCGGAGCCAUCCUUGGGAUACCACCCUUGUAGUACUGGGACUCUAACCAUAGGCCAUGAAUCUGGUCUUGGGACACUGUCAGGUGGGCAGUUUGACUGGGGCGGUCGCCUCCCAAAAGGUAACGGAGGCGCUCAAAGGUUCUCUCAGUACGGUCGGAAAUCGUACGUAGAGUGUAAAGGCAAAAGAGAGCUUGAUUGCAAGACAUACAGGUCGAGCAAGGAUGAAAAUCGGACUUAGUGAUCCGGUGGUUCUGCGUGGAAGGGCCAUCGCUCAACGGAUAAAAGCUACCCUGGGGAUAACAGGCUUAUCUCCCCCAAGAGUCCACAUCGACGGGGAGGUUUGGCACCUCGAUGUCGGCUCAUCACAUCCUGGGGCUGUAGUAGGUCCCAAGGGUUGGGCUGUUCGCCCAUUAAAGUGGUACGCGAGCUGGG
rnacentral:rRNA from 1 species